GGAGUAAGUAACUCUCAGUUCUUAGAUGAAAAACUUGAAAACUUGAAUCCUAUAGACAGAACUCUCCACCUACAAGUACACUUUUGGUCACCACACUGAUACCGAGUCCAACAUAAAAUCUACAACAAAAAUCAAAAAAUCAACAACAAAAUCUAAAAUUUUGAAGGGCGGCAUGAAGUCGUGUGGCACUUAUCAAAUUCUCAGUGUGUGUCUCUCGUGAAUAAAUAAAUAAAAUCUUAAAAAAAAAAUCUGGGGAUCCCUGGAUGGUGCAGCGGUUUGGCGCCUGCCUUUGGCCCAGGCGCGAUCUUGGAGACCCUGGAUCGAAUCCCACGUCGGGCUCCCUAUAUGGAGCUUGCUUCUCCCUCUGCCUGUGUCUCUGCCUCUCUCUCUCUCUCUCUCUCUCUGUGUGUGUGUGACUAUCAUGAAUAAAUAAAUCUUUAAAAAAAAAAAAUCUGACUUACUGGCUUCUCAUAUGGAAAAAAGUGUAGAUCUCUGCCUACAACAUAAUAGGCACUCAAAGCAACGUCCCCUUUUCCUUGCCUCUGCCCACAGGCGGCCUCCUCCUCUUCCCCGGCUGGAUUGGAGUUUAUGAAACCAUCAGGUAAAGCGAUGCUGACAUCAGCCAAGUGUCUUUACACAAACAGGUAGCCCUGUCCUAUGUAUUAUGUCGUCAUCCAAGCUGGGAACACCGGAAGCACACUGAGUGACAUGAGUCCUGAAGCAGGGAAAGUCGACUAUACUUACACUACAACAAAUAGUAUCUCGUGUUCCUCACAGCUAAGAAGUUGCCCUGGCCUGUUUUUAAAAGAUCAGAUACUUGAGCAGGGGAGGACACAACAUGGGCAUGAAGUACUUGAACGUUACCAGUACUUUGCUACAGGAAGGAAGCCGUCACCCCUGGAUCGCGUGCUACCGUCAGGAAGAUGGGUUAGGGAGUGCCGAGCAUAA
rnacentral:lncRNA from 1 species